AGUCGAUGGCCAACGGGUUAAUAUUCCCGUACUACUUAUUACUGUGAUGGGGUGACGGAGUGAUGAAAGUGUCGCGCACUGACGGAAUAGUGCGUUGAAGGUUGUAGCUAUAGGGACUGUAGGCAAAUCCGCAGAUCCUGGCAAAGACCGAUAGUACUGCGAGGCUUCGGCCAAGUAGAUAGUACACCUAAGGGCUUCCAAGAAAAACCUCUAAACUUCAGGUAAUGAGUACCCGUACCGUAAACCGACACAGGUAGUCGAGGAGAGAAUCCUAAGGCGCUCGAGAGAUUCAUGGCUAAGGAAUUAGGCAAAAUAGACCUGUAACUUCGGGAGAAAGGUCGCCCACAGCAAUGUGGGCCGCAGUGAAGAGGUCCAGGCGACUGUUUAUCAAAAACACAGGGCUCUGCAAAAUCGUAAGAUGAAGUAUAGGGCCUGACACCUGCCCGGUGCUGGAAGGUUAAGAGGAGAUGUUAUCUUCGGAGAAGCAUUGAAUUGAAGCCCCAGUAAACGGCGGCCGUAACAAUAACGGUCCUAAGGUAGCGAAAUUCCUUGUCGGGUAAGUUCCGACCUGCACGAAUGGUGUAACGAUCUGGACACUGUCUCAGCCAUGAGCUCGGUGAAAUUGUAGUAGCGGUGAAAAUGCCGCUUACCCGCAGUGGGACGAAAAGACCCUGUGCACCUUUACUAUAGCUUAGUAUUGACUUUGGAUAAGUGAUGUGUAGGAUAGGUGGGAGACUUCGAUCCUGCGUCGCCAGGCGUAGGUUAGUCAUUGUUGAAAUACCACCCUUUGCUUAUCUGAAGCCUAACCCCGUUUUGCGGGGGACAUUGCUUGGUGGGUAGUUUGACUGGGGUGGUCGCCUCCAAAAGAGUAACGGAGGCUUCUAAAGGUUCCCUCAGCACGCUUGGUAACCGUGCGUAGAGUGCAAUGGCGUAAGGGAGCUUGACUGAGAGACAUACAGGUCGAUCAGGUACGAAAGUAGAGCAUAGUGAUCCGGUGGUUCCGCAUGGAAGGGCCAUCGCUCAAAGGAUAAAAGGUACGCCGGGGAUAACAGGCUGAUCUCCCCCAAGAGCUCAUAUCGACGGGGGGGUUUGGCACCUCGAUGUCGGCUCGUCACAUCCUGGGGCUGGAGAAGGUCCCAAGGGUUGGGCUGUUCGCCCAUUAAAGUGGCACGCGAGCUGGGUUCAGAACGUCGUGAGACAGUUCGGUCUCUAUCUACUGCGGGCGCAAGAAAUUUGAGUGGAUCUGACUCUAGUACGAGAGGACCGAGUUGGACCAACCGCUGGUGUAUCUGUUGUCCCGCCAGGGGCACCGCAGAGUAGCUACGUUGGGAAGGGAUAAGCGCUGAAAGCAUAUAAGCGCGAAACCCACCACAAGAUGAGAUUUCUUUUAAGGGUCGUAGGAGAUGACUACGUUGAUAGGCUACAGGUGUAAAGGCAGUAAUGUCAUAGCCGAGUAGUACUAAUAACCC
rnacentral:rRNA from 1 species